rnacentral:rRNA from 1 species
AUGCAGUCGAGGGGCAGCGAGGGAGUGGCAACACUUCUGUCGGCGACCGGCGCACGGGUGAGUAACGCGUAUGCAACCUGCCCUUCACAGGGGGAUAACCGGGAGAAAUUCCGACUAAUACCGCAUACGUCCUCCGGGGGCAUCCCCGGGGGAUGAAAGAGUUAUCGGUGAAGGAUGGGCAUGCGUGAUAUUAGGUAGUUGGCGGGGCAACGGCCCACCAAGCCCACGAUAUCUAGGGGUUCUGAGAGGAAGGUCCCCCACAUUGGUACUGAGACACGGACCAAACUCCUACGGGAGGCAGCAGUGAGGAAUAUUGGUCAAUGGACGAGAGUCUGAACCAGCCAAGUCGCGUGAAGGAAGACGGAUCUAUGGUUUGUAAACUUCUUUAGUGCGGGAACAAAGCGGCGUCGUGACGCCGGAUGAGUGUACCGCAAGAAUAAGCAUCGGCUAACUCCGUGCCAGCAGCCGCGGUAAUACGGAGGAUGCGAGCGUUAUCCGGAUUUAUUGGGUUUAAAGGGAGCGCAGGCUGCGAGGCAAGUCAGCGGUCAAAUGUCGGGGCUCAACCCCGGCCUGCCGUUGAAACUGUUUUGCUAGAGUUCGAGUGAGGUAUGCGGAAUGCGUUGUGUAGCGGUGAAAUGCAUAGAUAUGACGCAGAACUCCGAUUGCGAAGGCAGCAUACCAACUCGCGACUGACGCUGAGGCUC